rnacentral:rRNA from 1 species
GAUGAACGUUGGCGGUGCGCCUAAUACAUGCAAGUCGAACGGAGACUGUAGCAAUACUGUCUUAGUGGCGAACGGGUGAGUAACGCGUUGGUGAUCUGCCUCGAAGUGUGGAAUAACGUUCCGAAAGGAGCACUAAUACCGCAUGGUCUUCUGGUUUUUAGAACGCCAGAUGUAAAGGAUUUAUUCGCUUCGAGAGGAGCCUGCGUCCCAUCAGCUAGUUGGUAAGGUAAUGGCUUACCAAGGCGAUGACGGGUAGGGGACCUGAGAGGGUGGCCCCCACAAUGGAACUGAAACACGGUCCAUACACCUACGGGUGGCAGCAGUAGGGAAUAUUAGUAAUGGGCGAAAGCCUGAACUAGCGACACCGCGUGUGCGAAGAAGGCCUUCGGGUUGUAAAGCACUUUUAGAGAGGAUGAGGAAGGACGGUACUCUCUGAAUAAGUCUCGGCUAACUACGUG